AUUGAACGCUGGCGGCAGGCCUAACACAUGCAAGUCGAACGAGUGGCGGACGGGUGAGUAAUGUAUGGGGAACUGCCCGAUGGAGGGGGAUAACUACUGGAAACGGUAGCUAAUACCGCAUACCAUCGGAUGUUCCCAUAUGGGAUGAGCUUGUAGGUGAGGUAACGGCUCACCUAGGCGACGAUCCCUAGCUGGUCUGAGAGGAUGACCAGCCAAAUGGGAACUGAAACACGGUCCAUACUCGUAUGGGAGGCAGCAGUUGGGAAUAUUGCACAAUGGGCGCAAGCCUUAUGCAGCCAUGCCGCGGGUAUGAAGAAGGCCUUAGGGUUGUAAAGUACUUUCAUUGGGGAGGCGUUACCCGCAGAAGAAGCACCGGCUAACUCCGUGCCAGCAGCCGCGGUAAUAC
rnacentral:rRNA from 1 species